GUCGCGCUGGACCUGCGAGCCCCGCAGGCAGCCCAGGUUCCGGCCCGCGCCUCUCCCUCCACACCUCCCCGCCAGCAGAGGGAGCCCGCUCAGGCCUCAGCCAGCACAGAGAGGGGCUCCCACGGUGCAGCUGCGGGCUGAAGGGCUCCUCAAGCGCGGCCAGAGUGGGCUGAGGCCGAGGAGGUGCCGAGAGCCAGCGAGGGAUGCCAGCAAGCUGUCACCUCUCAGAAAUACAGGAAGAACAUCAAUAAUGUUCGAAGUUAUAAAGUAGCUGGAAUGCACUUGGAUGCCAGAGAUUUUGAUUUCUUCAUGUGAAAUAAGUUGCGGAGGUCAGAGGUCAGAAAACAAGGUGUCUGCAGGACCAACCUCUCCUCUGGAUGCUCUAGGUGAGAAUCUUUUCCAUGCCUUUCUCUUAGCUUCUGAUGUUGCCAUCAGAACUUCAGAUGGUGUUCCUUGGCUUCUGUCAAUAUUAAUACAUAAAUCCUUUUCAGUCUCAGCUUCUCUCUUCACAUGGUCCUCUCCACAUCCUAUCUGUUUCUGUUCCCUCUUCUUAUAAAGACAACCCAUGUUAUUUUAAGUCCCACCUACAGACAUAAUUUUAGCUUGAUUACAUCUGCAAAAACUUUGUGUCCAAAUGAGGUUUCAUUUACCUUAUGUGUAUAACUAGGGGUUAGGGCUUGAACAUACG